rnacentral:lncRNA from 1 species
UCCUCCACUUUCAUCAUUCUCCCAGCAUCGAUCAUCUGUACAACAAUUUCUUCGAAUUGUAGUUCGAUGGUAGGAAAAGACGACUCGUUAGCAUCAGUUGAAUCAUAGCAUGUGUCGAAACGAUUUAUAGAAAAUAUCUUAUAUUUCGACAUUGCUGAUUGAUAGAUGCGGGCAAAGGGUUCAUAUACUUUUCUUGACGGCA